rnacentral:rRNA from 1 species
AUUGAACGCUGGCGGCAGGCCUAACACAUGCAAGUCGAGCGAGCGGCGGACGGGUGAGUAAUGUCUGGGAAACUGCCUGAUGGCGGGGGAUAACUACUGGAAAAGGUAGCUAAUAACGCAUACCAUCAUAUGUGACCAGAUGGGAUUAGCUAGUAGGUGGGGUAACGGCUCACCUAGGCGACGAUCCCUAGCUGGUCUGAGAGGAUGACCAGCCACAUGGGAACGGAGACACGGUCCAGAUGCCUACGGGAGGCAGCAGUGGGGAAUAUUGCACAAUGGGCGCAAGCCUGAUGCAGCCAUGCCGCGUGUGUGAAGAAGGCCUUCGGGUUGUAAAGCACUUUCAGCGGGGAGGCGUUACCCGCAGAAGAAGCACCGGCUAACUCCGUGCCAGCAGCCGCGGUAAUUC